AUACAGAGGGUGCAAGCGUUGUUCGGAAUUACUGGGCGUAAAGCGCGCGCGGGCGGAUCCUGCAAGUCCGGAGUGAAAUCUCACCGCUCAACGGUGAGGCUGCUUUGGAUACUGCGGAUCUGGAGACCGGUAGAGGCUGGUAGAAUUGCAGGUGUAGCGGUGGAAUGCGUAGAGAUCUGCAAGAAUACCCGUGGCGAAGGCGGCCAGCUGGGCCGGUUCUGACGCUGAGGCGCGAAGGCGUGGGGAGCGAACAGG
rnacentral:rRNA from 1 species